CAGCUCCAACUGAGACUCAGGUUCCUCUGAACAGGACUUCAACCAGGAACAUACACAUCUAUCAAUACCAACAGUGUGAGACCUAUACCAGUCAUCAAUACCAGCAGAGUGAGACCUAUACCAGCCAUCAAUACCAGCAGACUGAUACCAUUACCAUCCAUCAAUACCAGCAGAGUGUGAGACCUAUACCAAUGUAGCUGGGAGGGCAUUAUUUUUAAGAGUUACUUAAUUUUUUUUAACCUUUUCAUACAAGUGAUUUAUUUUUAAACUUUUGUCUGUAACCUUUUAAUAAUAAUAACAAUAGUGAUUUAGAAAAUGUGGUUAAGAUCAGGGAAUAAUGGUUAAAUAGCUGUUGUUACAGUCUUAGUUUGUAAUUCUAGGUGUUAAAGUUCAUUGUUUUCCAUUUGUAAGUGUAUUGAUAUGUGUUAAUGUAGCUGAAUAAAUAUUGAUUCAGUUUAA